rnacentral:rRNA from 1 species
CUAUCCUACGGGGGGCAGCAGUGGGGAAUAUUGCACAAUGGGGGAAACCCUGAUGCAGCGACGCCGCGUGAGUGAAGAAGUAUUUCGGUAUGUAAAGCUCUAUCAGCAGGGAAGAAGAAAGACGGUACCUGACUAAGAAGCCCCGGCUAAAUACGUGCCAGCAGCCGCGAUAAUACGUAUGGGGCAAGCGUUAUCCGGAUUUACUGGGUGUAAAGGGAGCGUAGGCGGCCUGGCAAGCCUGACGUGAAAUACCGGGGCCCAACCCCGGGGCUGCAUUGGGAACUGCCAGGCUGGAGUGCCGGAGG